rnacentral:rRNA from 1 species
AUACCAGACUCCUACGGGAGGCAGCAGUGGGGAAUAUUGCACAAUGGGGGAAACCCUGAUGCAGCGACGCCGCGUGAGUGAAGAAGUAUUUCGGUAUGUAAAGCUCUAUCAGCAGGGAAGAAAAUGACAGUACCUGAGUAAGAAGCCCCGGCUAACUACGUGCCAGCAGCCGCGGUAAUACGUAGGGGGCAAGCGUUAUCCGGAAUUACUGGGUGUAAAGGGAGCGUAGACGGUGAAGUAAGUCGGGAGUGAAAGGCGGGGGCCCAACCCCCGGACUGCUCUGGAAACUAUUUGACUGGAGUGCAGGAGAGGUAAGCGGAAUUCCUGGUGUAGCGGUGAAAUGCGUAGAUAUCAGGAGGAACACCGGCGGCGAAGGCGGCUUACUGGACUGUAACUGACGUUGAGGCUCGAAGGCGUGGGGAGCAAACAGGAUUAGAUACCCUCGUAA